UUCUUUGGUUAGGUCUAAGACAGAGAAAAGUUUCUCUAUUUAUAGGAUCCAGGCUUUGGCUACUAAGGGGUCAAGACCUCCUUCAAAGUGGGGUGGGUUAAAUUUUCUAAAUUUUACUAUGUUGUAGGAGAUAGACCUUUCAGCUGGGCAAUAGUUAGGGGCGGGGGGGUGUUGGCAUUGGUUUUCUUGGUUUUGACCUAUAGCUGUAGUUAGACCCUAGAUAGCUUGGAAGAGUUCAAUAAGCUCGACCUUGGUCGGGUGAUCCUAGAACUCCGAUCUUUCUGU
rnacentral:lncRNA from 1 species